rnacentral:pre_miRNA from 1 species
ACCGCUGAGGUAGUAGGUUGUAUAGUUCAGAGUUGUAUCGAAGGAGAAACUAUUCAGCCUGCUAGCUUGCCGGU